UAUCUCAUCUGUCUUCCACACCAUCCUGCUUCUCUGGGCCCUUCUUGCUGUCUCCCUUAAAAGAUUACUUCCUAGACAAACUGGAGAAGACCCUGAUAUACUGAGACCAGAUAAGGAGUUGACUGCCUGUAGGAAAAAAAAAAAAACUGGACCUGCCCACAUUGCCUGCAGGCUACAAGGAAAAUGGAGAUGUCAGCCAGGGGUGGGUGAGGAGGGCCAGGCGGAGAGAUCCAAGUUGCUCCCCCAUAUUUAGUGAGUACCUGUGUUGUUUAGUGCAAUUUACUAAGUGCUGGAGAGAGUACAAUACCAAUGAAGUACAGUGAAGAAGCCGUAUUAUCCUGUCUGCGUCGCCGGCCGGGCAGCUGUCCCUGCAGCCCCAUAUUGCAGGGGGGAUGCGGGGGCAGCCCGGUGAGGCGGGGCAGGGAAACUGGGUGUGAGGAGGUGGGGCUGGAGGUCUGAACAACUAAGCCGCACUGCCACUAGGUGCCCCCUGAUUCUGAAUGGGAGCACCAUUGCAGGGGGGACAGUGGCAGUGCCGCGAGGGAGGGCAAAGGAGCAUUAUUUGUUUCUCCUGGGUCUCCUCACCUCUCUAUUUUCCCUUCCCCUAUUCGCCUUCCUUUUUUUCGAUCCUCGACCACAGCCUCCCUACCAUCCUGCUCUGGAAUUCAUCGCCUGCCUGCUGACAGCCAGCCCGGGACAAGCCUGCUUCAUCAUUCCUCGGCACCUCAGCCGAGACAACUCCAGCCUCUCAUCCAGGGUGUUCCCUGGGCCUCCAGUUGUCACCUUCUUUCCUCUUUAUCUCGCCUCUCUUCCAUGCCAUCUUUCUUCUCUAGGCCCUUCCUGCUGUCUCCCCAAAACGAGAACUUCUUAGACAAACUGGAGAAGACCCGGACAUCCUGAGACCAGACAAGGAGCUGACUGCCUGUAGAAAAAAUAAGUAUCUCUAAUGGGGUCUGGGAAUGGAGGACAUGCUAACAUUAUUCUAUCAAAAUCUUCCUCUGAAAUCCUUGUUCCUAGCAAUGAAGUAUACCUUACCUCAGAAACCUCUCUAUCAAACUUACUAUCUAACACACCAGAGAAAUGUACUGGUACCUUCCCUCACAGAAUAUUUGCCCAAUCCAUUUUCAGUGGAAAAAACUGAAGUUAGUGUCUUUUCAUACUGUAAAAUUUUUAGUCAGGGCUAGACAGAAGGUGUUGUCAGUCUGAAGACAAUAAAUAGAAUAAUGUAAUAGAAUAGGGAAUGAGGUUUCCUAGAAAAUAAUAAAUAGGGUAUUUAAAUUAGGUCAAAAGGAAUUGCAGUGUAAAUUUCCAAGGGAAAUUUACCUGAAACACCAAAUAGAGUACUGCAUUGUAAACAGCUGUGAUUUUCAGGAGUUCUCUCCCCUGACUACUGGUUUGGGUAAGUGUUGUGAGGAUUUUGCUAAACAUGAGAGAGAAAAGAAAAUUCUACCCCAAAACAAUCCUGUAAUGACGCUAAUAAGGAAAGGAUUUGGAGUAGGUUCCCCAUCUCCUCUUGUCGAGGAAAGUGAAGGUGUGGCUUUGCUCUCAAACCCAGUUUGGUUCUUUUCAGAAACUGCAACUCCCCACAUGGCCUGAAGACUUCAAGGAAGAAUGGAGAUGUCAGCCGGGGGUGGGUGAGGAGGGCCAGGCAGAGAGAUGCCAGCUGCACCCCAGCAAAGGACUGGAACCAAAAUGAAAAGAAUUCAACUGGCUCAGACCUUCAUUGGAAAGAAAACUGGAAAAAUGAAGAGAGUCAAGAAGAAAAUGAUCAUGUGGAGCAAGUUGAGGAAACCGGCAAGAGAUGGAUAAAGGGAAACUCUUUCAGGGUCCACACAAUUUCCCAGAAGCUUGUAAGAAUUACACCCCUGAUCUUUAUGACUAGCAACCAGGAGAAACAUAAAAUUCAAAUCUGAGGUAAAAAGGAGACAUUUCCUAAAAUUUGCACCACAGCCAAUUGUGGAACCCUUCACAAGCUUUUGAGACUUGGGACAGGAGAGAACAAACUUACCCUCAAAUUUCAUUUCAGAUUAACUACACAGUGCUGCAACGAUAUUUAAAGUGUACGAAAUGGAGAUAUUUGCUUUGUGCAGUAUCUCUUUCUUAAAUCUCUCCUAGGUCUUUAUGGCCAAACCCCUUGAGAAAGCUCAGGGAAUGUUGGAGGGGAAUAGGAGACACUUGCUUCAUGCAGUGUCCACUUCCUAAUUCUCUCUUGGGUCUUUAAGGCCAAACUCCUUGAGAGAGCAAAGAGAACAUCUGGGGCGAAAAAAGGAGAGGUCUGCUUCAUGCAUUAUCUCUCCUGAGUCUUUAAGACCUGACUCCAUGAGCCAUCAGAGGGAAAAUCUGUGUGGGGAAAAAGAGAAGUUUGCUUCCUGCAAUAUGCAUUUCCUAAUUGUCCCCGGGGUCUUUAAGGCCUACGUCCUUGAGCAAACUGAAAGAAUACUGGGGGAUGAAAAGUAGAGAUUUGCUUCAUGCAUUAUCUCCUUCUUAAUUCUCCCCUGGGUCUUUAAGGCCAAACCCUCACAGAGAGCCCACAGAGAAUGUUUGCAAAUGAAAAGCAGUGACUUGCUUCAUGCAAUAUCUCCUUGUCACUUUCCCCCGGGUCUAUAAGUCCUAUCUUCUUUACCAAAAUGAGAGAAUGUUUGAAGAUUAAGUGGAAGAGAUUGGCUUCACGCAAUAUCUCCUUAUUAAUUUUCCCUUUGGUCUUUAAGACCCAACUCCUUGAGAGAGCAGGGAGAAUGUCUGAGGGGAAAAAGGAGAGAUGUGCUUCAUGCACUGUCUCCCAUUCAAAUGUCAUUAGGUCUUCACGACCUAAUGCCUCAAAUGAGCAGAGAGGAUAUUAUACGUGGAAAAGGAGAUACUUGCUUAAUGCAAUAUGUACUUAAUUUUCUCUUGGGUCUUUAAGGCCCAACUCCUUCAGAGAGCCGAGAGAAUGUUUGGGUUGAAAAAGGAGAGAUUUGCUUCAUACAGUAUGUCCCAUUGGUCCUCACGAUACAAUGCUUCAAGUGAGGAGAGAGACAAUUUUCAGUGGAAAAGGAGAGCUUUGCUUCAUGCAAUCUCUCCCCUUCAUUCUCUCCUGGGUCUUUAUGACCCUUUGUCUCAAGUGAAAAGGGAAGAUGAUUGAAGAGGUAAAGGAGAGAUAUUUUUAAGCCAUAUCUUCUUCAUAAUUGCCUCCUGGGUCUCUAAGGCCUAACUCCUUCGGAGCAAAUGUUUGAAGAUGAAAAGUUGAAACUUGCUUCGUGCAAUAUCUCCCCUUAAUUGUCUCUUGGGUCUUUAAGACCCAACUCUUUGACUAAGCAGAGAGUAUGUCUGAAGAUUUGCCUCAUUCAGUAUCUCCUUCUUAAUUCCCUCUUGGGCCUAUAAGGCCUAACUCCUUGAGAGAGUUGAGAGGAUGAGGAGACGAAGGAAGGAUUUGCUUCAUGCAAUAUCUUUCCUUUGCAACUCUCUCCUAGGUCUUUAAGGCCAAAAUCCCUGAGAGAGCUGACUGAAUGUUUGAAAGUGAAAAGGAGAAAGCUGCUAGAUGCAAUAUCAUCUCCUUCAUUCUCUCUUGGGUCUUUAAGGCCUAACUCCUUGAGAGAGCUGAGAGGAUGAGGAGAAGAAGGAAGGAUCUGCUUCAUGCAAUAUCUUUCCUUCGUAAUUCUCUCCCGGGUCUUUAAGGCCAAAAUCCCUGAGAGAGCUGACUGAAUGUUUGAAAAUGAAAAGGAGAAACCUGCUACAUGCAAUAUCAUCUCUUUCAUUCUCUCUUGGGUCUUCAAGGCCUAACUCCUCGAGAGAGCUGAGAGGAUGAGGGGAAGAAGGAAGGAUUUGCUUCAUGCAACAUCUUUCCUUUGUAAUUCUCUCCUGGGUCUUGAAGGCCAAAAUCCCUGAGAGAGCUGACUGAAUGUUUGAAAAUGAAAAGGAGAAACCUGCUACAUGCAGUGUCAUCUCCUUCAUUCUCUCUUGGGUCUUUAAGGCCUAACUCCUUGAGAGAGCUGAGAGGAUGAGGGGAGGAAGGAAGGAUUUGCUUCAUGCAAUAUCUUUCCUUCGUAAUUCUCUUCUGGGUCUUUAAGGCCAAAAUCCCUGAGAGAGCUGACUGAAUGUUUGAAAAUGAAAAGGAGAAACCUGCUACAUGCAGUGUCAUCUCCUUCAUUCUCUCUUGGGUCUUUAAGGCCUAACUCCUUGAGAGAGCUGAGAGGAUGAGGGGAGGAAGGAAGGAUUUGCUUCAUGCAAUAUCUUUCCUUCGUAAUUCUCUUCUGGGUCUUUAAGGCCAAAAUCCCUGAGAGAGCUGACUGAAUCUUUGAAAAUGAAAAGGAGAAACCCACUACAUGCAAUGUCAUCUCCUUAAUUCUCUCUUGGGUCUUUAAGGCCUAACUCCUUGAGAGAGCUGACUGAAUGUUUGAAAAUAAAAUGGAGGUACCUGCUUCAUGCAAUAUCUCCUCCCAAAUAAACUCUUGGGUCUUUAAGGCCUAACCCAUUGAGCAAACAGAAAGAAUAUUUGAGGCUGAAAAGCAGAGAUUUGCUUUACGCAAUAUCUUCUUCCUAUUUCUCUCUUGGGUCUUAAAGGCCCAACUUCUUGAGAGAGCAAGGAGAAAGUUUGAGGUGAAUAAGGAGAGCUUUGGCUCAUGCAAUAUCUCUCUUUCCUGAUUAUCUCCUGGGUCAUUAAGGCCAAAUUCCUUGAGAGAGUAGAAUGAAUGUUUGAAAAUGUAAAGGGGAAACAUGCUUCAUGCAAUUUCUCCUCUUUAAUUCUCUCUUGGGUCUUUAAGGCCAAACUCCCUGAGAGAGCAGAGAAAAUGAUUGAAGAGGUAAAGGAGAAAUUUGCUUCAUAUUCUAAGUAUUUCAUAAUUGCCUUGUGGGUCUUUAAGGCCUAAUACCUUGAGAGAACACAUAAAAAAUAGGUGAGGUGGAAAAGGAGAAAUUUGCUUCAUGCAAAGUCUCUCCUUCAUAGUUCUCUCCUGGGUUGUCAAGGCCUGGCUACUUGAGCCAGUUUGAGAUACAGCAAACAAAAGUCUCCAUGCUAAUUCCCCUAAUAAGCUCUGAAAGAGUUUUCACCUUUAUCCUCUCACACCACUAACUGCGUGGGACAAACUUCAUCGAGGCCCAAGACCUCUGGGCCAGCAAAACAGCACCAGCCGCGGUGUGGAAAGACUCUACGUGUUCAUCAGCGGCAGACGAAGAAAGGACGCAUGGAGAUCAGGCAACUGUCCGCGUUCACAGUCACCACCUCCGGUCUUUAUGGCCCAAACUGUGGGAGGGGGGAAAAGAGGGAUUUACUUCAAGUAAAAGCCUAGUGUAAUCCCCUGGAGACUCCUAGAAAGCUCUCCACCCGAGUUCUUCAAGGCCCAGGUGCUGGAGGGAGAGAGCAGGGUCAAUCCUGCUUGCCCUUCUUUGUAGCUGGGAAGGAGAGAGAAGAGAAAAUUUAUCGAAGUUUAGGGGACUGCAACAUUCUAUAGCAACAUAGCAAUGUCAGCUCACUAUUUAAAUGGCUCACGCACAGCCCUGAGGUAAAUCUUUUCUCUUCUUUCCUAAUCAGCUUUAACCAUAACAAACUGAACUUUUCUUCCCCCAUCAAUGUUCAAUGGAAGAACACUUUCAUCUCAUUCAGUUACAAUCAAGCUCAACCACCUGCAUUCAUUCAAUCCACAGUCUUCCAAAAAGCAAUAAAAUAGUUCAAAUAAAUAAAUAAACAAAUAAAUAA